UAGGACAGAUGAUCGCGGCUGCAGGUGUCGAAAGACCGCAGGUGAGGAAAGUCCGGGCUUCACAGGGCAGGAUGCCGGAUAACGUCCGGUGGAGGUGACUCCAAGGAAAGUGCAACAGAAAUAUACCGCCGCGCAAGCGGUAAGGGUGGAAGGGCAGUGUAAGAGACUACCGCCUUCCUGGUAACAGGGAGGGCACAUGUAAACCCCAUUCGAAGCAAGACCGAACAAAAGCGUUGACGUGGCCCGCUAGCUUUAGGUAGGUCGCUUGAAAUGGCUGGUGACAGUCAUUCUAGAUAGAUGAUCAUCCAAUGACAUAACCCGGCUUACCGUCCUGCUUAA
rnacentral:RNase_P_RNA from 1 species